GACGAACGCUGGCGGCGUGCUUAACACAUGCAAGUCGAACGGAAAGGCCCUGCUUUUGUGGGGUGCUCGAGUGGCGAACGGGUGAGUAACACGUGAGUAACCUGCCCUUGACUUUGGGAUAACUUCAGGAAACUGGGGCUAAUACCGGAUAGGAGCUCCUGCUGCAUGGUGGGGGUUGGAAAGUUUCGGCGGUUGGGGACGGACUCGCGGCUUAUCAGCUUGUUGGUGGGGUAGUGGCUUACCAAGGCUUUGACGGGUAGCCGGCCUGAGAGGGUGACCGGCCACAUUGGGACUGAGAUACGGCCCAGACUCCUACGGGAGGCAGCAGUGGGGAAUAUUGCACAAUGGGCGGAAGCCUGAUGCAGCAACGCCGCGUGCGGGAUGACGGCCUUCGGGUUGUAAACCGCUUUCGCCUGUGACGAAGCGUGAGUGACGGUAAUGGGUAAAGAAGCACCGGCUAACUACAUG
rnacentral:rRNA from 1 species